GCUGGGCGUGGUGGCUCACGUCUGUAAUCCCAGCAGCUAGGGAGGCUGAGACAGGAGGAUCAUGAGUUCAAAGCCAGCCUCAG
rnacentral:sRNA from 1 species